rnacentral:rRNA from 1 species
GGAUUAGAUACCCUGGUAGUCCACGCCGUAAACGAUGGGUACUAAGUAGGGGGGCACCAAAGGCCUCCCUGCCGGAGCUAAUGUGUUAAGUACCCCGCCUGGGGAGUAUGGUCGCAAGGCUGAAACUCAAAGGAAUUGACGGGGGCUCACACAAGCGGUGGAGCAUGUUGUUUAAUUCGAUGCAACGCGAAGAACCUUACCUGGGCUUGACAUGUAAGUAGUACCAAUCCGAAAGGGGCGGGACCCUCCUUGAGGGAGCUUACACAGGUAUUGCAUGGCUGUCGUCAGCUCGUGUUG